rnacentral:rRNA from 1 species
GCGAAGAACCUUACCUACCCUUGACAUCGAGAGAACUUUCCAGAGAKGGAUUGGUGCCUUCGGGARCUCUCAGACAGGUGCUGCAUGGCUGUYGUCAGCUCGUGUUGUGAAAUGUUGGGUUAAGUCCCGUAACGAGCGCAACCCUUGUCCCUAUUUGCCAGCGAUUCGGUCGGGAACUCUAGGGAGACUGCCGGUGACAAACCGGAGGAAGGUGGGGACGACGUCAAGUCAUCAUGGCCCUUACGGGUAGGGCUACACACGUGCUACAAUGGCCGGUWCAAUGGGUUGCGAAUCCGCGAGGUGGAGCUAAUCCCAUAAASCCUUUCUCAGUCCGGAUCGGAGUCUGCAACUCG